UCUAAACCAAUGGAAUGGAAA
rnacentral:misc_RNA from 1 species